AUCUUGGUUCAGGAUGAACGCUAGCUACAGGCUUAACACAUGCAAGUCGAGGGCAGCAGGACGAUAGCUUGCUAUGUUGCUGGCGACCGGCGCACGGGUGAGUAACGCGUAUCCAACCUUCCCCUUAGUAGGGCAUAGCCCGGCGAAAGUCGGAUUAAUACCCUAUGUUAUCCGAAGAGGACAUCUGAAUUGGAUUAAAGAUUUAUCGCUAAGGGAUGGGGAUGCGUCUGAUUAGGUAGUCGGCGGGGUAACGGCCCACCGAGCCUACGAUCAGUAGGGGUUCUGAGAGGAAGGUCCCCCACAUUGGUACUGAGACACGGACCAAACUCCUACGGGAGGCAGCAGUGAGGAAUAUUGGUCAAUGGGCGCGAGCCUGAACCAGCCAAGUAGCGUGCAAGGAUGACGGCCCUAUGGGUUGUAAACUGCUUUUAUGCGGGGAUAAAGUGCGGCACGUGUGCCGUUUUGUAGGUACCGCAUGAAUAAGGACCGGCUAAUUCCGUGCCAGCAGCCGC
rnacentral:rRNA from 1 species